AUGCAUAUUGAAAAAAAUGUGUGUGAGAGUAUUAUUGGUACCUUACUUGAUAUUCCCGGCAAAACUAAGGACGGUCUAAAUAGUCGUUUAGAUCUCGUUGAAAUGGGUAUACGACAAUCUCUGGCACCUGAGAAGAAAGGUGAACGUUUAUAUUUGCCUCCUGCUUGUUUCACUUUGUCCAAAAAAGAGAAACAAACAGUUUGCAAAUCACUUGCAAAUAUGAAAGUACCCGAUGGUUACUCGUCUAACAUCAAAAACUUGGUGAAUGAGACUGAAUUGAAACUAAUGGGUCUGAAAUCACAUGAUUGUCAUGCGUUAAUGCAACAUCUACUUCCAAUUGCCAUUAGAUCAGUCUUGCCAAAAAAUGUUCGAGAGUGUUUGACACAUGUUUGCAUUUUCUUUAAUAGGCUGUGCGGGAAGGAAUUAGAAUUGGAUAAGUUAGAUGCAUUACAUGAACAUGUAGUCAAAACAUUGUGCAACCUGGAAAAGUUUUUUCCGCCAUCUUUUUUCGACAUCAUGAUCCAUUUAAUGGUUCAUCUAGUGAGAGAAGCAAGGCUGUGUGGGCCGGUGUGGGCGAGAUGGAUGUAUCCAUUUGAAAGAAAUAUGAAGGUACUUAAAAGUUAUGUGCGUAACCACUAUCGGCCAGAAGCAUGUAUGGUUGAGUGCUACAUAUCUGAAGAGGCUGUGGAAUUUUGUUCAGAGUACAUGGCUGGAGUUGAGGCAAUAGGAAUUAGCAAACCAAGAACUGACCCAGAUGAUGUUGAUAGAGGAUUAAGGGGGAAAGGGACAAUGGUGACAGUGUCCAAGCUUGAACUAGAUCAAGCUCAAUUAGUCGUGAUGAACAAUAACGCAGAGGUUCAACCAUAUAUAACUGACCAUAUGGAGCUGUUACAAUCAAUGGUUCCAAGAAAUCAAAAAAAUAAACAAAAAUGGGUUGCAGACCAACAUCGUCAAACUUUCAUUGGGUGGUUAAGGAAUACCAUUAUAUCAAAGUUGAACGAACCGAAUCAUGGAGUAUCUGAUGUGUUGAGUCGUAUUGCCCUUGGACCAACUUUUGCGGUUGCAAAGCAUGAAGCGUACAUUGUAAGGGGUAAACGUUUUCAUACAAAGUCAAGAGAUGAUGCUCGAGAGGUUCAAAAUAGUGGUAUACGUAUCGUCGCAGAAACUAUGCACUUUGCAAGUGCAAAAGAUAGAAACCCUAUUUUAGGUACUAUGACGUAUUACGGGGUCAUUGAAGAAAUAUGGGAGCUCAAUUAUUUUGCGUUCCGAAUUCCACUUUUUAAGUGUUCUUGGGUUGACAUCAACGUUGGAGUAAAAACUGACGAGCUUGGUUUUACUUUGGUUGAUUUAAGUAAGAGAGGAAGCAAGAAUGAUCCAUUCAUCAUGGCUAGCCAAGCAGCUCAAGUUUUUUACAUUUCUGAUCCGGCUAAUGAUAAAUGGUCUAUUGUUUUAUCGACACCAGAGAGGAGGUUCUUAGAGACUGAAGAGGAUGAGGAGAAUGCUGACUUAUGUUACGAUGACUUCAUUGUUGGACAACCAAUUCAUGAGCAACUUAUGGGAAUUGAUCGUAACAUUGAGGAAGACGACGCUGAAUACAUUAGAAACGAUAUCAAUGAGGGAAUAUGGGUCAAUUGUGAAUCAGGCAAACAUAAACAAAAAAAAGAAAAGAAAACGUGUCUAAUUGGUAACUUGAUAUAUAGCUUACUUUAUAUUGUGGUUGUGAAUGGUCCUGAAUACUUAACAAUUUGUUUAUGCUUUUAAUAUUUCAUAUACACUACUUGUUAUAUAUAUAGCUAACUUUGAAGUUUGUUUGUUAAUGGUGUAGACAUGGCGAACUCGGAAUCAGGAUCUGAUUCGGGAGCAGAAAAUGAGUGUCCAACCACAAUACCUACACGAGGGCCAACGCAAAUGAAUGAAAUAUCCAAACUAAUGGAUCAGGGCAAAAGAGUGGCCCUCGAAGUUAAUGAUAAAGGUCAAUACUGUGGAAAAAGCUAUGCGAAGCUCGUAUCCACUCUAGGAGUCAGAUGUCGGCAGACAAUAGGGUUGGCUUAUAAAAACUGGAAAGAAGUCAACCCGACUCUGAAAAAUAAAGUUUGGAAAGACAUUCAGGUAAGCUAUUAUUUGUUAGAAUUUUGAUUUGUUUUUCUAUUACUCCAAAUGUUGACUCUAACCGUGUUUGUUUUCCUUCAAAAUAGACGGGGUUCAUUGUGCCGGACACCUUCAAACAUGAUUGUCUCAUCCUAGCUGGGAAGUUAAUGAAAGACUUCAAGAAUAGGAUGACAAAAGACAUCAUAAUGCCCGCGUUGAAAGAGAAUGAUCUGGGACGACUGGCACAAGUCCCUGAAAAGCACCCCGAGAUCGACGCUGCUGAUUGGUGCAAAUUUGUUGAAAGUCGACUAACUCCUGAAUUUCUGGUACGCUAAUUAUAUUAACACUAAGAUAAACUCUUAAAUACAAGUACAUGUAUCUAAUGUAUUUUUUUGGCAUUGUAGGAAUUGAGUAAGGUGCAACAUGAACGUUCCUCAAAAAUUCAAUCCAGACAUCGAAGUGGUCGGAGUGGAAUGGUGAACGUACGGGAAGCUGUGGUAAGUAAUACUUAAAAUUUAAUGUGCUAUAAUGUGCUAUACAAUUUAAUUGGUACUCAUUUCAUUUUUAUAACGUUAUGUAAGGACCUCGAAGUUGCAGAUCCCCCCCGCCACCGUGUUUGGAUUAAAUCUCGCACCAAGAGUAGAAAACUUGUCACUGAUUACGACAAGGAAAUUGCAGAGAAGAUAGCUCAAUUAGAGGAGAAGCUUAGUCAGGGACAAAUUCAGGUCCAGGGCCAAAACGAUAUCCUGACGCAGGCGCUCGGGACACCAGAGCAUCCUGGACGUGUCAGGGUUGCUGGGUAUGCUAUUACUUCAAAUGUUAUUUAUUUAGUUACACAAAUAAAAUCGUUGCUAAUUUGCAUUUUAUGAUUUGUAGGUUCCUGACCAGGGCAUCUCAACUGUUCGGCAGGAAGAAAAGGGAAGUGUCUGAUGUUGUGGCUCGGCAAGCGAAGGAGAUUGAAAAAUUAAAAGCCGAAGUCCAAUCCCUUAAGCAGCAGAGGAACGCUGCCGAACAAGAGGAAGAAGGAGAGGUGGCUGGUGAGGCGUAUGUUCCACAACCAUACGCUCCUCAGGUUGUGGUACAACCACAAAUUUAUGCUGAGGAGUUUAUUUCCCUCAACGACCAAGGUAUCCUAUACAAUUUUGAUGACCAUGCGGCCCUUAAUCAGCAAGUACAUCUCUGCUCUGACAACAUCGACAAUAUUGUGGCCCGAGGGUAUUUGUACGAGCAUGUGGGUAUGAUCAAAGUUCACUGCCAGGAGUACGAUGAUUCACAUGCCCGGAUCAUGGUUUCGGAAAUCCUGCAAGAGGACGCUGAAAUCCCAGUCCCAAUUGAAGAGUGCAGAUAUGUUAGGGACGUAUACCAGAUGUUCCUUCCUUGGCCUAAACACUUAAUUUUAACAACCGAGGUAACUUCUCAACUCAAAUUAAUUAUUAAUGAUUAGUGGAGUUUGAAUAUCUUCAAUAUUCAUCCGUAGUGAAGUAGGUUCUGCGAAUAUAUGUCUUUGCGGUGGGAUGGAUGAACAAACUACUGUUAUAUAUGUGUUAUUUGUCAUUAUACAGCCAUGUUCAAAAUUUUUGGGGUCAUUCAAUUACAACCGUUAUGCUGCCGAAAUUUCGGUAGAAUUUGGAUAAAAUUUGAUAUAUAUAUUAUGUUCUGUUUUGUUUAGGGUCCACUCGCUCAACCGCCCUCAAGACGUGAUGCGUCAAAGGGGAAAGCUCCGAUGCUUUCUCCACAAGGCCGUGGUGCACGGGAAGAUGACUUGUUCACGGAAGAGAAGAUGGCGUUGAUCCCUAAUUCGCUAAAAUGGAUGAUUCAUGAAUUCCUAAGGCUCAAAGAUAAACGUGAUAUAAUCACAAUUCCUGUCCCCCGAGGAUUCAUUGCACCGCGUACCCAGAUCACGUUAUCUGGAGAGGAUUUGCAGCAGGUUGCUACGUGUGACUACAUCGGCAACCAGGGAAUGCUGUUUGGAAUGAUGCACAUAUGGGAGAGCAUCAACGGUCUGAGAAAAAUUUUCAAGUUUUACGACCCAGAGCUUCUCACAGUGCAUGGGAUCAACGAUGAAGAACAGAGUCAAUCUUUUGACGAUGCGGCAAGACGAUUGGCUAAUUGGUUAUCAUUAAUGAA